CCUACGGGGAGCUGCAGUGAGGAAUAUUGGUCAAUGGGCGGAAGCCUGAACCAGCCAAGUCGCGUGAGGGAAUAAGGCCCUACGGGUCGUAAACCUCUUUUGCCGGGGAGCAAGGGCGGGGCCGUGUCCCGGCCCGGAGAGUACCCGGUGAAAAAGCAUCGGCUAACUACGUGCCAGCAGCCGCGGUAGUACGGAGAAUGCGAGCGUUAUCCGGAUUGAUUGGGUUUAAAGGGUGCGUAGGCGGGCUUUUACGUCAGCGGUAAAAAGUCGGGGCUCAACCCCGUCCGGCCGUUGAAACUGGGGGCCUUGAGUGGGCGAGAAGAAGGCGGAAUGCGUGGUGUAGCGGUGAAAUGCAGAGAUAUCACGCAGAACCCCGAUUGCGAAGGCAGCCGUCCGGCGCCCUACUGACGCUGAGGCACGAAAGUGCGGGGAUCGAACAGGAUUAGAUACCCUGGUAGUC
rnacentral:rRNA from 1 species